rnacentral:rRNA from 1 species
UACGUAGGGGGCUAGCGUUGUCCGGAUUUAUUGGGCGUAAAGAGCGUGUAGGCGGCCAGGUAGGUCCGUUGUGAAAACUCGAGGCUCAACCUCGAGACGUCGGCGGAAACCCUCUGGCUAGAGUCCGGAAGAGGAGAGUGGAAUUCCUGGUGUAGCGGUGAAAUGCGCAGAUAUCAGGAGGAACACCGGUGGCGAAGGCGGGGUCUCUGGGCCGAUACUGACGCUGAGGAGCGAAAGCGUGGGGAGCGAACAGG